UAGGGAAUCUUCCACAAUGGACGCAAGUCUGAUGGAGCAACGCCGCGUGAGUGAAGAAGGUCUUCGGAUCGUAAAAGCUCUGUUGUUGGUGAAGAAGGAUAGAGGCAGUAACUGGUCUUUAUUUGACGGUAAUCAACCAGAAAGUCACGGCUAACUACGUGCCAGCAGCCGCGGUAAUACGUAGGUGGCAAGCGUUGUCCGGAUUUAUUGGGCGUAAAGCGAGCGCAGGCGGAAUGAUAAGUCUGAUGUGAAAGCCCACGGCUCAACCGUGG
rnacentral:rRNA from 1 species